rnacentral:rRNA from 1 species
GAUGAACGCUGGCGGCGUGCCUAAUACAUGCAAGUAGAACGCUGAAGCUUGGUGCUUGCACCGAGCGGAUGAGUUGCGAACGGGUGAGUAACGCGUAGGUAACCUGCCUCUUAGCGGGGGAUAACUAUUGGAAACGAUAGCUAAUACCGCAUAAAAGUCGAUAUCGCAUGAUAUUGAUUUGAAAGGUGCAAAUGCAUCACUAAGAGAUGGACCUGCGUUGUAUUAGCUAGUUGGUGAGGUAACGGCUCACCAAGGCGACGAUACAUAGCCGACCUGAGAGGGUGAUCGGCCACACUGGGACUGAGACACGGCCCAGACUCCUACGGGAGGCAGCAGUAGGGAAUCUUCGGCAAUGGGGGCAACCCUGACCGAGCAACGCCGCGUGAGUGAAGAAGGUUUUCGGAUCGUAAAGCUCUGUUGUAAGAGAAGAACGAGUGUGAGAGUGGAAAGUUCACACUGUGACGGUAACUUACCAGAAAGGGACGGCUAA